rnacentral:rRNA from 1 species
UAGGGAAUCUUCCACAAUGGACGCAAGUCUGAUGGAGCAACGCCGCGUGAGUGAAGAAGGUUUUCGGAUCGUAAAGCUCUGUUGUGGGUGAAGAAGGAUAGAGGUAGUAACUGGCCUUUAUUUGACGGUAAUCAACCAGAAAGUCACGGCUAACUACGUGCCAGCAGCCGCGGUAAUACGUAGGUGGCAAGCGUUGUCCGGAUUUAUUGGGCGUAAAGCGAGCGCAGGCGGAAGAAUAAGUCUGAUGUGAAAGCCCUCGGCUUAACCGAGGAACUGCAUCGGAAACUGUUUUUCUUGAGUGCAGAAGAGGAGAGUGGAAUUCCAUGUGUAGCGGUGGAAUGCGUAGAUAUAUGGAAGAACACCAGUGGCGAAGGCGACUCUCUGGUCUGCAACUGACGCUGAGGCUCGAAAGCAUGGGUAGCGAACAGG